UACGUAGGGCGCAAGCGUUGUCCGGAUUUAUUGGGCGUAAAGAGCUCGUAGGCGGUUUGUCGCGUCUUCCGUGAAAACUGGGGGCUUAACUUCCAGCUUGCGGUGGAUACGGGCUGACUGGAGUGCGGCAGGGGAGACUGGAAUUCCUGGUGUAGCGGUGAAAUGCGCAGAUAUCGAGAGGAACACCUGCGGCGAAGGCGGGUUGCUGGGCUGACACUGACGCUGAUGCGCGAAAGCCAGGGAGCGAAGCGGG
rnacentral:rRNA from 1 species